rnacentral:rRNA from 1 species
UACAGGGGGUGCAAGCGUUACUCGGAAUCAUUGGGCGUAAAGAGCGUGUAGGCGGUUUGGUAAGUCGAAUGUGAAAGCCCCAGGCUUAAUCUGGGAAGUGCAUUCGAUACUGCUAGACUAGAGUACAGGAGAGGUGAACGGAAUUUCUGGUGUAGAGGUGAAAUUCGUAGAUAUCAGAAGGAACAACAGUGGCGAAGGCGGUUCACUGGACUGUAACUGACGCUUAGGCGCGAAAGCGUGGGGAGCAAACAGG